UACGUAGGGUGCGAGCGUUAUCCGGAAUUAUUGGGCGUAAAGAGCUCGUAGGCGGUUUGUCGCGUCGGCUGUGAAAACCUGGGGCUCAACCCCGGGCCUGCAGCCGAUACGGGCAAACUAGAAUUCGGUAGGGGAGACUGGAAUUCCUGGUGUAGCGGUGAAAUGCGCAGAUAUCAAGAGGAACACCAGUGGCGAAGGCGAGUCCCUGGACAACUUCUGACGCUGAGGCACGAAAGCUAGGGGAGCAAACAGG
rnacentral:rRNA from 1 species